AAUGCAAGUUACUGUCAUAAAUUCAGUAAGAAUCUGUCCUUGUUUACAGGAGGCUAUUGGAAACAGUAGCUAUGGGCCCAGAGCACUGCCUAGACGGUCAUAUUUGAGAAUGAUGAGCUUCUAACCAGAUGUGACUGGACACUUUUAAGAAGCUAAGAUAAGCAGACUGAGGCCCGGAGUGAGGAAGCAGCUGCCUGAGAAGAUACAGUUAGUAGGUGUGAGACUGGACAGUCUGUGCUCUUCAGACCAGCACGCCGCCCUGCCUUGAGCAGUGUGGGUUUCCCGUCUGAGCUUCACAGAGUAACGUUAGGUGCAGGCCCAGCCCUGUUGUACCAUGUGUCUCCACCCACUUCUCACCCAGCAGAACCCGUGGGCUCCGAGCCUGUUCACAUUGCCACCUUGGGGUGUCCCCAGAGGAAAAAACGUGUGGUGGAUAUGUGCCGUGCCGUCAGGCGAGAGCCUCACACCAAUGGACCGGAGCCUAACGGGCAGAUGGGCCUGCAGCACUGCGCUUCCCUGGGUGGCACUGGUCAGGGCCCUGGGCCUCAUUUGACACAUGCUCAUUUGAUGGAACAGCAUCCAUGCUGGUCAAAGUCCCUGUGCCUUGGCGGCCGCCACCCCUGCCUGUCCUGGGGCAAGCCUCGGACCCCGUACAGCUCCUCAAGUCCAGGAUGCGUAAGAUGAGUUUGAGCACCAGCUGCCUUUGCAAACAGAUUCUGUUUUUAAAAGAAUUCUUUCCACCAAGAUUUCUUCAUAUUAUAAAUUCCCUGGGUGUAAGUAAACGUUUUUAUGCGUACAAAUUCAGCUCAGGGCAACACGUGUUGAGUAAAAUGGAAUCUGAGAUGCUUUGAGCAACGGGAGUGAUACGCAUUCACAUUCAGGCAGCUCCUAAGAGUAUGAAACUCACCAAGAAUGUUUAAAACGGCUUUUAGUAACAAAUAUUUACUGAGCAACUUCUCUGAGUAGGGCCCUGUCCUUGGUCCAGCGGCUAGAGCAGCGAACAAGGCAGGAGUCUGUCUUGGAGAGUUUACAUGCUGGUGUGCAGCAUAUUCCUAACAGGACACAGGUUAUUUUACACAACAGGCAGCGCAGCAUUGCUGGUGGAAGCAAACAGCUGAGUGCCUGCUGUCCGUCUAGCAGCCCUCUGUUGGGGGCCGUGCUGCAUAAAGUAAACAGUUUCAGACUGGUAGGGUAUAAAAUUUGUCUGAAAAACAAAAUAAAACAAAACAAAACACACCCAACCCCAGCUAUCCUCAUAAAAGCUGGAUCUGCAAACUGCUCACGGUGCCUGUGAAUGCCCCCCUACCUGCCCCUACAUAGCACGAGCCCGAGGGGACCUGGGGACCGUGUUUAUGCACUACACAGUGAGAACGGUGCCCUGGGGCCGCUCUGAUAAGUGCCGCACAGGCGGGACACUUGCCAUGAAGGAACGGCAUGAAAGUGCAAGCACCAAAGGAUCACAAUUGUGCGCAUGAUAACUGCACAAGUAAGACGGGAAUCAGAGCAUCGUCAGCACCCAUCUUUGGGGGUGAAACUCAAGGCCUUUUGCUUCUACUUCUGGGCGUUUCCCAGCACAAUGAAAUGUGUAUAGCAGAAGACUAGAAAAUAAUUAAAAUCCUCCAGAUCA